AUAGAGACUCAAGCAUGGUCGUCGUCGAUGCUCCGGCGCCGACGACGGCGGCGGAAUGGAUCAUCGAUCGACGAUCAUCAGGUCGUCGUUUCGGUUUAGCUCACCCUGGAGCAGUCGGUGGAGGUGCUGAUGGUGUAGGGGAUGCUGACGCCGCACUUGGAGGGGAUGCUGGCGGCCUUGCCGACGUUGAGGCCGCGGAUGCCACGGGCGGCGUUCUUGAGGCAGUUGCAGGCGGCGCGCCUGUCGGCGGUGGUGCGGGCGGCGGAGUUGAGGCUCCUGACGCCGCUGCAGCAGCCUGCGGAGGGUCCAGAGCCCUGGCCGCGGGCGUAGGACAGGCAGGGCCCGAUGGCGGAGCUCACCUGACCGCAUGUCACGGCGGCCUCCGAGGUCGUCGCCGCCAGCACCACCGCCGCCACGACGGCGAUCGCCACAGCAAGCUUCAUGCUGCGAGCCAUGUCGAUCUCGAUCGACCUCCUGUGAUAUAUGUGCUGAUGCUCGUAGGUGACUGAUAGCUUUUGGGAUGCAGUGAGUGAGCAAGUGCUAGCUGGUGAGGAGAUUGCAAUGGAAUGUUGCUCCUUAAAUAGGCAGGCUUUGUGAUCGAUGUGUGAGCUAGCUAGCGAUUGCUGAUGAGUGAUGUGCAUGCAUGGGAUGGGUGUGCAUGCUGUUUCAGUCGGUGGAUGCAUGCAUAUGCGUAUAUGUCCAUGGAUCGAUGGUAUCUCUCGCCAUGCAUCGAAGUUAACUGCUGGGGAGGAGGUGGUUGGGUGUUGAGGGAGGAGGGCAGAUGCUUGUUUAGUUGUUGUAAUACCCGAUUUUAAGGACAAAACCAGAUAUGCACCAUAUGUGAGUUUUAAAAGCCAAAUCUCACAUAUAGCUACAAAUAAGGGGUAAUAUCAAAAGACAAUGCAAAAAUUAUAUAACGUACAUAAUAUAAAAGAGAUAACCUUUGAUAGCAAACAACGGAUAGACAACUCCAAACUCCGGGUAUUAACUUCUCUCUACAGGAUCCAACUGACUGGUUGAUCACAAGCCUAAACUUCUCCUGAGGUUUGGGGGAAAUAGCAAGAGUGAGUCCAUGUCAAACUCCACAAGUAUAGCAACUAGAUUGUAUAGCUCCCACAAUCUCAUGAUCAAUGUGACAUAAAUAAUGUAAAGCAUUAAACAAUAAGCAAUGAGCAUAUUUAACACACAAGAUUCAUCACCCUUAAUGUAGAUGUCCCCAAGGCCGUUCCUGACCGUGAGCUCGGCUAGUAUACUAGUUUUAACACUCUGCAGAGGUUGCACAUCUUUACCCAUGAGUCAUGAUUUACCCUUUCGCCCGAGGUGAUCAGCCUCUUAACCCACUUCCAAGGAAGGUCGGCAGGGAUCACUAUGAAGCCUUUCAAAAGUUCGUCUAACAUGUUAGGGCCGCAAGGUUUCCUUUGCGAGCAGAUAUAGAUACCCCCCUUCCGAAUGGCACAAUGACGCGCAGCCUAUACACAUAGGGACAGGGGCUCGCACUAUACCCGUGUCGGUUCAGCCCCUCCGCCCUUUCGGGUAACCUCUAACAAGCUAGAAAAGGUCUUCAUACUGAGCUAAAGCCAGAGCCAUUAUAGCCCUCAUGGUUGCACUGUUAUCCCGGGUGAUCACGUACAGACAAAUCAUCAAGUUGUUAAAAAGUCAUUUUUACCAUUUAUUACUUAACAUUAAUCUAGUCACAGGAUCAUGGUCACAGAAAUAAAAUCCAAAUGCUAUACUUGCCUCAAUCCAAUUGCUCUUGCUUAUCCUUUUGGUCCUGCUGGUCUCACUUGUUGCCAAAGCUUUGAUCUUGAUCACCGAAACUGCUCUCCGUCUAAACUCGAUCAUCGAUCAUCAACACACAAACAAUCGGACACAACAUACACGUAGCAAACAAGGCUAUAAUUAGAACAGUACACCAAUCAUAUAAAAACAAUAUGAAAAAUUUGUAAAAUAAUUCUACGCAUCGCUACGAUCUCACAGACGUAAAGAUGACGAAAAUCGGAGUUAAAACGGAAAAGAUAUGGAUUUUCUAAGAUUUUAUAUAGAAAAGUAAUUAAUUAAUUAAGGUCACGAAAUUAAAAGGUUUCAAACUGAGUGAACAAUAUUACUAACAUGUAGUGCUCGUGAUUACGAACCUAACACAAUUUCAAUGGACAAAACGGAGUUAAAACAGAGAUGAUAUGGCCUAAAUAAACUAGCGUAUUUUCUUUGUAUUUUUAGGUUUGUUUUUCUAAAGGAAAACGGCAAUAAAACAUGUCUAUGUUAUAACGACGUCAUCAAGCUAGCCAGCAACGUUUAUUCGCAGAUAUAUGUUAGACAUGUACAUCCCUAGAUCGAUUGCUGCGCAGAUAGAAACAUCGCCGGGCGAAACAAAUCAGUGCAUGCACUUGUAGAGGCUUUGUGAAAUUUCUCACACAGGAAUCGACAUAUUAAAGAUGCAAAGUUACCUCUUAUGGUGAUUAUAAGAUUCAAUAGGACAUGCUUGCCGAACGAUGGGUCAGUGGCCACGUCGUCAAGAACAGGUUGAUCUACGGCAACACCUUCUACUCCCGUGCUCUGUUGCUUGCUACUCUUCACGUGGCCAGCGAUUUGGUCUUCUGCUUCUUUGGUCCACAAUCACGAUGGUUCACCGGAACAUGGCAAGCAGCUCUGGCAAGCAGGACGUGGCAAGAGCAGAGCGGCGGCCGUAACAUGGCAAGGGCAGCAUCUAUCUAGGCAUGGCCGACGGCGGCGGCUCUCAAGGGUUUUAAGGACGUAAACACUCUAGACGAAUAUGACGUGUAUAUAUACGUGCGGUCUAGAUCAAGUUUGAUUAGGGUUAGAACUUAUUAUUUUUGGAAUUAAUUAUUUUCAUGGAUAAAAUAAUUAUAGAAAAGUCCAGAAUUAUUAUUUAAACUAUGAAAAAUAUUCUAAAAGCUCUGAAAAUUCGGAGAAAAUUCUCAGAGACAUUAUGGAAUAUGAGGAACUCAAAUAACGUAUUUGGACCUCAUGAUAAGAUAAUUUGGAGCAUCUAAAAAUUAGAUUUAUGCUCAUAGAAAAGUGAGAAUAGAAGAUGGAAAAAUUCCCGAAAAGUUUGUAGAGAUUGCUUGAUGGACGAGGAACUAAAAGAAGUGCUUUGAGUGACAAAGAAAAGAUUUUAGGAAGCUCCUAAUAAAAAAUUGAGCUGAGAAACCAAAGAAUUUGGUUAUAGAUAAAGAUAAAGACGUACUGGUCAAGGAAGAUCUACUAAACGCAUUUUAAAACUUUGCUCACUCAACACAUAAAGGAGCAACAAGUCAACAUCACAUCAAAACAUAUGCACCAGCAUGUAUGCACAACAAUAUUGCUAAGGCUUAUGAUAAAUUUUAAUUUAAUGAAAAUUAUUAUUUUCCUUAUAUUUUCGUGAGCACAAAAUACAAAACUGAAUAAAUUUUCAUCUAUUUUGAAAAGAGCAAAAUUUAGGGUGUUACAGUUGUCAAAAUUUUUUAAAAUUCUCAAUCAAAUUAAAUCUUGGGACACAAUGUAUCAAAUAUUAAAUAUAGAUAAAAAUUAAUUAAUUAUAUAGUUUGUAUAUAAUUUGCGAGAUAAAUUUUGUAAACCUAGUUAAUCUAUAAUUAAACAAAAAUUAUUAAAUAUAAACGGUGCUAUAGUAACUAGAUCCAAAAAUUUUCACCAACUAAGGGCUUGUACAACGAUGGGCGCUUAUGAUCAGGUAUUGGCCGUUAAAUAGUUUUUUUGCCACACGGUGGAGUCCUGAGCGGGCGCUUAAAAAUAGAUUUGCCGCUCCGUAAAGCAUCGACGCCUAGACCGGCUCCUUGCUUGAUACUGGUGUUUGCAUGCGACGUAACGGUCACAACUUAAGCGCCUUCAAAUACGUGUUGUGUUGUAGAUUAAGGUUAUAAAGAGACGCUUAGUUACAAAAGUAUUUUCUCUUUCCAUCUAAGCGCCUUUUGCAUUGUACGUGCUCUAAACAAGGCCACAGAUACAGACAUACAGUGGUUAGCUGAGGCAGAGUGAAAUCAUUAGCAGCAAACAUAUAAUAAAUAGCAGCCGCCUAGCACGACUUAGCGCCACUUAAGUUUUGUUUAGUUACGCUCGAAAUCCAAAAACUUUUCAAGGUUCUCUUCACGUCGAAUUUAGAGACACAUACAUGUAGCACGACUUAGCGCCACUUAAGUUUUGUUUAGUUACACUCGAAAUCCAAAAACUUUUCAAAGUUCCCUUCACGUCGAAUUUAGAGACACAUACAUGAAGCAUUAAAUAUAAAUAAAAAAAUAACUAAUUACAUAAUUUAUCUGUAAUUUGAGAGACGAAGCUUUUGAGUCUAGUUAGUCUAUAGUUGAACAAUAAUUAUCAAAUAUAAAAAAAAAUGUUAUAGUACCAAAAAAAUCUUUUCACUCACGAACUAAAUAAAGGCCCUAAUCUCAUCAUCCGCCUCACUGUUUAAUCGAAUGUCCUUGAUGGCCACCCACAGGCUCACAAAACCUGAGACGGUGAGACCUUGCCUGGGGUAGUAUAUGGGGCCAAUGGCCAAUCCAUUUAUCAGUUUGCCCAAGGCAGGUGGUGGGCCACUCUGUUCAAUUUUGAGUCUAAUAUAUGCAAUAUCUUCUCUUUUGUGCAAUUUUUGUCCGUGGGUUCAAACAAUCCUGCCACCGUGUCACCGGUGGCUGAUCGUGUCAACCCUUCGCCGCAGUCCGCUCCACCACAGUACGGGGGGCCCAGUUGCAGUCUCUGCCACCGCAGUAGGGAUGUUGAACUUGUAAUAAUAAAUAUGUGAGUGCUUUUAAUAUAUAAUGCAUGUUGGUGAUAUAGAUGUGAUAAUUGGCGUGUGUGUAUAUAUAUUGUCUGUUACAAUGGAAUGUAAAAAAUAAAACAAAUACAAUUCUCGGGGUCUUCGCCGAGUGCGGUGCCAGGGUCACUUGGCAAAGCAAUUUAAAAAAACAAUUUUGCCGAGUGUCGGGGCCACGACCACUCGGCAAAGAAUUUUUCUUUAAAAAAGAAAAGACACUUUGCCGAGUGCUGAUGCUAGGGGCACUAGGCAAAGUAUUUUUAAAAAAAACAAAUAUGCGGAGUGCCGCGGCAAGGGACACUCAGCAAAUAUUUUUUUUUUAAAAAAAAAGAAAGAAAAUCUUUGUCGAGUGCCUGAGGCCAGAGGCACUUGGCAAAGCAAUUUUUUUUAAAAAAACUUUGCCGAGUGUUAAGGGGCCAGGGGCACACGGUAAAAUAUUUUUUAAAAAACAAAAACUUUGUCGAGUGUCGUGUCGGGCAACUCGGCAAAAUAACUGUUAACGGCAGAUGCUGUGACGGCCAAAAAUGUUGCCGAGUGCUGUCGUAAGCACUCAGUAAAAUGUUUUUAAUAUUUUGCUAAGUGCCUCGGUAAAAAGCACUCAGCAAAGUCUCUUUGUCGAAAAUUUUUUUGCCGAGCGAACUUUGCUGAGUGCUACGUUCGGCAAAGCCUUUGCCGAGUGCAAAGGGCUCUUUGUCGAAUGUAAAAACACUCGGCAAAGUCCUAAUUUCCAGUGGUGGGUGUGCUGGGACAAUUUAGAAAGCAAGCAACGAUUUCAUUUUGCGUUAGAUCACUCCCAUCCUCGAAGCCUCAGUUUUUUUUUUCAGAAAUAAGUUCCAGCUGUUGCUGCUGAGAACUAAAAGAAGCUUUUCACCCUUGAUUGAUCAAUGGAUUGGCUCUCUAGUUUAACAGGCUUCUUUGUUGUACUCUUUUUGCUCUUUUUUCCUUAGUUUUUUUGUUCCUUAGUUAAGACUCCACCCUACUGCCUCCUUAACUGUUGUGCUUUUUUUUUUGUAAAAGACCUUUUUUAUUAUAAUUUUUGCAUUGUUGUAGGGGUGCAAACCCCUCCAAUCUCCUUCAAAAAAUUCAAAAGUAAUAUAACCUUGCAGAACAAAGGACGGUAAUCCCACCAUUUUGCUAUGUGAGCCCACUCCUCUUAUUUUUUUUACUUUUAUUUUGAUUAUGCCCACUCCUGUUAAGCAGUCAUUUGUUCCAUUCCCUAAAUAUAUUUCUAUUUUUUAGAAUAUUCAAUAAGGCGUAUAUACAUUAUAUUUUAAGAAAUAAACUAUAUUCAAGACAAAUCUACCCACAUCAAUAUUACUUGUAUACAUUCAAAUAAACAUGUAGACAUAAUAAUUCGAUAGUUAAGGUUUCAAAAUGAUUGAAAUAAGACAACUUGAAAUAUGUCACAAUAAAAAAUUAUUUGUGGUCAAAGUUUCUGAAAUUAUUGACUUACGACAACGUACAUCCAAGUGUCACUUAAUUGCUUUGUGAGCAGAGGGAGUAUAUAUUUUGGCAAGUUACCCUCCAUCUAAAAAUAUAAAACACAUGUUUUUAGGACAGUAAGAUUUGACCAAUAGGUGCUUGUGCCAUUAAUAUGCAUAAAUCAUAGAUACUUUUGAAUACAAAUAUCUAGUUACAUCAAUUUGCUACCACAAAAUUGCAAGUAUCUUGGUUAAAGCCAUGUCUAACAAAACAUGAGCUUUGGGAUGGAUAUAUAUCAUAUUGGUGUGUACGUUUAGUAGUCUCUCUUCGUUUCAAUUUAUUAGAUGUUGUUUUGGCUUUUGUAGAUACAAAAAUUUUUUUAUGUAUCUAGAUAACGUUUAUUAUGAUAUAGAUAUAUCGUAUAUCUAUAUGCCUAAAAAACUGAAUAUCUAGAAAAACUAAAAUAACCUAUAAUUUAGGAUAGAGGGUGGUAAUAAUUAUACAUCUUCUGCUACCAAGUCCCUUAAUUACAGCACACAGCUCUGUUUUCUAGUUGCCUUGAUCGUUCAUCAGAUGAAUUAUGUAUUUGAAGAGUAGCGCGUGUGUGGUCAUGUCAUGAAAACGUGCUAGCUAGGUACUUGUUUUAAUUUCCACCGUGUGAGUAUUUUUUUUUUUCAAGUGGCGAGAGUUCAUUAAUUAAAUAAAACCAUUCAAUUUUUCAAAUCACAAUACGUUGUCUGCAAAUCCUCUGAGUCAGCCAGUUUUUCGUUACGUGCUAUACUCCGUCCAUUCUAAAUUAUGUUUUUUAAACUUUUUGGUAUAUUCAUUUUGCUACAUACUAAAAAAAUUAAAAAUAACUUAUAAUUUAGAACAGAAGAGGUAUAUAUAUAGUUGCAUAUAUGCUGACAAGUGUUUGGGGGAGAAUAGAGCAGUAACUCUCUUGACCAAGCGUUUGGGAGUCAUGGAACACAGUCACAUGGCGCAUGCAUGCGUAACAACAAUUUGGAAACAAAGAGAUGUGUGUGUGCAUGUAGCAGUGAUCGAACUAGUACAAACCACAGGAGCGAGAGGAAACGUACACGGACAUAAAUAAUAAACACCGCACAUAGUGCAUGCACUCAAAAAUAAACCCAACAAGCAAAAGUACAUCUCUCACACACACAUGUACACACGCACGUACGUACAUACGCUAAGAUGCAAGCGUAUCACAGCGUACACGACGACACGUACGUACAUACGGAGAGAUUUUUAUUCAGUAGUACGACGUAGCAGUAGUAGACAACUCAUCAUCUCAUCAUAUCAGGCGUAGAUAGAUACUCAUCCAUGGUCGAUGCUCCGGCGCCGAUCGACGACGACGGCGGCGGCGGCGGAAUGGAUCAUCGAUCGAUCGAUCAUCGUUUAGGUUUAGUUCACCCUGCAUGAUCAUGCAUGCAUGGAAGACGAAGCACAAGUUAAUUAAACGACUUGAUAUUCAAGUUGAAUCAGACCAUGCAUGCAUGCAAAGUUGCAAACAACUUGUAGUGAUUGGAUCAUUCAUUCAGAUCAUCACUUAAUUACCUGGAGCAGUCGGUGGAGGUGCUGAUGGUGUAGGGGACGCUGACGCCGCACUUGGAGGGGAUGCUGGCGGCGUUGCCGGCGUUGAGGCCGCUGAUGCCACGGGCGGCGUUCUUGAGGCAGUUGCAGGCGGCGCGCCUGUCGGCGGUGGUGCGGGCGGCGGAGUUGAGGCUCCUGACGCCGCUGCAGCAGCCUGCUGAGGGUGCGGAGCCCUGGCCCCGGGCGUAGGACAGGCAGGGCGCGAUGGCCGAGCUCACCUGCCCGCAGGAGAUGGCCGCCUCCGAGGUCGUCGCCGCCAGCACCACCACCGCCGCCGCCGCCACCACGGCGAUCGCCACAGCAAGCCGAGCCAUGUCGUCGAUGUUCUGGGGGUGUCUGAGACUUGCUUGUACUAGCUUUGGAAUGCAAGUGAGCAAGUGCUAGCCGCUGGUGAGGAGAGUGAGAUGGAGUGUGGCUCCUUAAAUAGGCAGGCUUGCGAUCGAUCUGAUCUGAUCUGAUCUGGGAGCUAGCUACAGUAGCUUGUCAUUGCUGAUGACAGAUGUGCAUGCAUGCACGGUGUUGUUGCAUUGCAUGCAGUUUCAGGCAGGCAGUCGGUGGAAUGGUGGAUGCAUGCAUAUGAAUGAAUGAAUAUGGUGGAUGUUCCAACAUCAUCUUCCAUGGACGACGGACGGUAUCGUCGCCAUCCGUCGAAGUUAAUUGCUGGGCAGGAGGUGGUUGGGUGUUGGGAGCAGGAGGCAGAUAGAUACAGAUAAUACUACAGCGGUUAGUUGAUGAGGGCAUGAUCGAGGCAGAGUGAAUUCAUUUGCAGCAGCAAUAGCAACUUAUUAGGGUAUGUUAUACUAUAACACUUUCGUUUAUAUUUAGCAAUAAAUAUUUAAUUAUAGACUAACUAGACUCAACAAGUACUUUAUCUCGCGAUUUACAUAUACAAACUAUGUAGUUAAUUAUUUUUUUUUUAUUUAUAUAUAUUUUAUGUUUCGUACAUGCGUCUAAAGAUUCGAUGCGACGAGAAAUCUUAUAAACAUUUAGAAUUUUAAAGACAUUUAAACACGCCCUUAAAUAGCAGCCGCCUAACACGACUUAGCAGGCAGGGUGAUGGCGGCAGUCGGCAGGGACGGACGUACGUGGCUCUCAUCUGAUGAAGUUGGAGGCGUAUUCACUCUCUCUCACUAGUGUGUCAGUGUGAGGUAGUUUGCAGUUGGAUCCGAGUGCUUAUCGCACAAUAAACACAUACUCUUCCUGCAUUAAGACGUCAAUUAUAUAUGGAUCGUCCAUCAUCCAUGAAUCCUUCCAGUAGUCUUCGUUAAUUCCUCCCGGCCGCAACCAGAAACAGAGAUAUCAGUACAGUGCAGGAGGUUACAUGCACAUUCACAAAUUGAAGUUGCAGCAGUGGUAGCGAUUAAGUUGUCCAGCAAGUAUGGGAGCCCACAUGUCGCUGUCUCGAUCGGAAGCUCCGCCACGUAUUACAUACAUGCAUCCCGUCCCCAACCUAGCUAGCUACCUCUGUGUGCACAGGCAGGUACCACCGACGGUUUCCCAAAACUCGUAUGUGUCCGACCCUCAAAAACAAAUCUCUCAAUUUUUGUUCAAAACAAACAAAUUUUUUAAAAUUUUAGAUUCAAAAACAAACAACUUUUGACCAUCAAAGAAAAAUACUGCUCUACCUCGAUCCGUUCUAAAAAGAACUUGGGAUUAUAUUCUAGAAAGUAACAGAUAGAUUCGUGUGUAAUGUUUAGAGAUGAGAUCUUGUAUGAAAAGAUUGGUUGAUGCGUAUAGAGCAACUUCAACCAAACUUCUAAAUGAACCUCUACCUUUUUAUAUAAAGGGGCUAAAACUCAAAUAUACUCUCGAACUGAUCCGGUCCCGACGGAGAGGGGCUCCCAUUUAUCUUUCCUCUAGAUGUAUGAGGCGGUGUUUCGGAUGGUUUGAUUCAAUUCCUUGCAGCUGCUAUUCAAUGAUGUCUUAACUGUAGCUCAUUUCUACCACUCUUAAUUAUGUAUGGCGAAGAGAAGAUUAAGCUCCCAAUCGAGUCCGAGUUGGAGGAUUUCGGUGCAACGUGGAGUUUGAUCUCUGCAUGGAUCGUUAAAUCUAAGUUGAGGUCAAUGUUUGUACUACAGAUCAUAGUACAUUGUGGUUGCCCUUGUUUGUAUGAGAUCUAGUGUAGAAUUUGUUGAUACUUUGUUGGCUACACAUUUGAUGGUUCCUUUCACUUAGGUUUCUUGGAUGAGCAGUUGUAAAUGCCAUUGCUUUCAUUAGUCGGCAGUUUGGUGCGCAUAGUGGUGUUCACAUGUGCUAGUUGCUCAUUUAGUGAUUGUGGUUCCUGAAUUAUGUGUUUGAGGUGGAGCACAUUUAGAAAGUAUGGAUUUGCAUUCUUCACUAUCUGUUCAAUUAAUGCCUUAGGUGAUUUCUUCGCAUACCCUUUCGUGAUCGAGCAAUUUGUUCAGACUUGGGUUAGAAGGCAGUAGCACAUGCUCAAACAUUUGCUGCGGUUAGAAUUUGUCGAAGACUCAGUUUUGUUCAUCUGAAUUUGGUGAGACACGAUUUGAACUUCCUAGUUAUUCUUGCUUGCUCGAUUUGGUAGCUUCUUGUGAAGCAUUUGUUGGUGGUUUUGUUAGUGUAUUUGACUUGGUGUUGGAGAUUUGAGCAUUUUGCAUCAUGAUCAUUGGUGUGUUGGCCAUGUUGUUCACUCAUUGGAGUUCACUCAUGAAUUUGUUUCUAGCUUCAUCAUUUGCCAAGUCAAAACAAGCUACCUUCAUGUUGGAGGCGAUAAAUUUGUCUUUUUUAUUAUUUAUUUGAAGAUGAAGGAUUUGAAGAUUGGACUUCCCUCAUCAAGAAUCUUGAUGUGUUCGCUCUAUGGUUCAAUCGUCGCCGAGGUAUAGAAUUGUGAUGUUGCAGCUUCUAAUAACACCAUUUGAGGCUUUACAUUAUGCAGAAUGUUACCUAUAUGUUUGGUUAGGUGUCUAGGAACUUAUUUGUGGUAAUCUGUAACUUUGAGAGCCUUUUAAUGAAAUGCCCAAACCAGCCCAAAAAGGGCAUCCCAAGCUCCCUGCUUCUGUAGGUGCAUGCUCUUCCCCUUUGGGGGGUUGAGAGAGGCCGGGAGAGGAGAUUUGAGGGUGGGGCUUUGUUUUACCAAAUCUGAACAUUAUAGAGUGAAAUCGGAGGGGAUUUAGAGCCUUCGCCAACCUUGUUAGUUCACGCCUCUUGUAUCAUCAUCUUCACAGUGGAUUGCUUGCUCGUCGCCGCCUGUGGUUUUUCCUACAAGGGGUUUCCACAUAAAUCUUAGUCUCUACCUAUGAUUCAGUAUUUAUCUUGCCAUACUUGUUGAUUCAUACCAAUCUUGCUUACAUGGUGUCAUUUCUCCAAGUUCAUGGUGUAUGAUUGAUAUUGACGUAUGAUGCAUACAUGCAUUCUCUUAUAUGUUAAUGAUGGGGAUUGAUGUGUUAGUGAGUUCAUAUUUACAAGUAUACUCAUUAUUGUGAAGUUUGCAUAGCACCAUGUCUGAAGAAUUGAUAAUAUGGGUCUGAUUUGUAUUUUGCACAUAAGGUGUUAGUUGAAAUAUUCAUGAGUAACUAGCUUGCUAAUUUUGAUGUUUCCUCUGCCUCUAUGCGCUUACAAUAAGUUUAUGGAAUAAAUUUUAGAUCCUUAAUUGAUAUUUAUCUUUGGAAAUAGAGGAAGUAAUAAAUGGUCCCAAUUUGCUAGCCACUUGUACAUAGUUAUACUAUAUACAAGCUUAUGCAAGUCAAAAUGUAAAAAACAAGAAGAACCAAGAAACAUGAACAAAAUACAUACAUACACUUAUGCAAGAUGUAGUAUAUAACUUUUAGGACAAUAUUUAUUUUGGCUCUGUUUCACUAGUGGAGUAGCUUUUUCCACUGGUAAAGGUAAAAUUGUUUUAGUUGUUUGGUCAAACAACUUCUCUAAUUCUUAAAAACAAAAAAUGACUAUAAUACUCUUUUUUGGCUGGCCGAGCUUUAAAAUUUUUAUCUUCUUUUUUAUGAAUUCUUCUUUAUGUGGCUACCAUCUGUUUGUCCUCCCCGCUUAUCCCCUGGUGCCCCGACCCGUCCACCUCCGCCUCAGCUUUGCCACCUUCAUCCUCAUCCAGCCACCAGAUGUUUCUCCUCAGUGUUCAUCCCAUGGUCCCCGCCCAUCUCCCACCGGUGACUCCACCCCUCACACCUCAAUGACUCCACCCCGCCCUUGUUACAUCAUUCUUCGUUGUAGUUUUGUUUGCAUCCAAUGACUUCAGUCACCCCCACAACUCUAGCCCCAUGCCACACUUGUCAUGGUGCAUGUAUUUGCCGCACCAUGCCUAUACAAAGAUGGCCCUCAUGACUUGAUGGAAGAGCUAAGCAAAGCCAUUUUUAGCUUCCCUAGAUGUGAGCGCGUGUAAGAUCGUGUUUUCCGAAGUUAGCACGAGGAGUAGCAACAGCUUUCAAGAUGGCAACGGGCCCCGAUCCCCGAUGGGGAUUUCAUCCAUUAGGGGACGAGAACGGGAAAAUUUUGAUCCCCGUAGGGGGACUUCAUGAGAAAGAAGGAUCCUCCAUCAGGUGAAGCGGGGAUGCAAACAUUCUAGGCUUCAUCCUUUAGCCUGACCCAACAAAUGAAAUAGGUCCAGUUUCUAACACCUAAAAAAAUCAUAUAAAAGCAAGAGCAUUUGUAACCCUAGUGAUCCACCAUUGCUUCUAGGCUUCUAGCUGAGUUGUCACUUCCACCGGUCCUCCUCCACUCCUCCUGUAUGCCUCUAAAGUCCAAGCUCAUCCUAUCUCCCUCUCUCCCCUCUACCCUCUGUCUCGCACCAACGACGUUGUGGUGGCGGUGAUGCUUGCGGGCUGUGGCCACAUGCUCUGGUAAGCAAGCACUGCUCUAGGGUUGAACCUGACAACAGCGGAGCCACGGAUGAGGUGUUCAAGGGAAGACGUGAAGGGCAACACCAAGGGGUUUAUCGGGGAUAGAGACCCCGCCGAGUGUGUAAUCUCGGGGACAGGGAUGGGGAAAUCUGGUACCCAGGUGCAGGGAUAGGAACAGGGACGGGGAGCGGGGUGUUUUUCUUUUCUCAUGGUCAAAACGUUCAAGCAAAACCUGACGGGGAUAGCCCCGUUGCCAUCUUUAAACGGCUCUCCUUCACCUGUUCGGUAGACGAACACGUAGACCAACUCUAGGAGCAGUUUGAUUUACAUUUCCUGACGGUUGACGGAGUUAGUAAUUAAUUACGUAAGAGUAGUUGAAGGAGCUUCCCGGCACCAUAUACUUGCGAGUGAUAUGCAGGGGUUACAAUAAUUACAGUUUACAAUGCUCGUCUCUUUAAUUAUGCGACGGGACGUGACGAUGGCCCAGCGGCUCAGCUGCAUGCAUGGAUCAAUCGAUCGAUCGCCAAUUAUCAAAAAAACCAAUCGAUCGACAGCUAGGUAAACUACCAGCUGCGGAUUAUAAAUUAUUCACGCUCAUCAUAUACAUAUAUAAUUAUAUAUACACGUACGUACGCUUCUGAGUACGAGCGACGAAAGUGUGGUGCAAGUGCAGCGUACAUGCCGGUACAGCGGCCAUCAUAUCAAGAUAUGUAUCCAUCUCCUACUACUGUACACAUUUGUAUCCUUACGGAGAUACAGUAUAUCAAGAUCAUCCUCUGACUCACUGCAUAGUCUGCACCGCAUCACGUACGUGCCGAAUACGUACAAGACUGAUUCAUGCUACAUAGUACGUGCGCCACACUCCUCGAUCGAUCGGUACAUCUUCACGUGUCCAUGUUCCUCAUCAACGAAUUAAUGCAUUUGUUUUCACAUGCCGCAUGCAUGAGAGUCGUCGGUCGUGGUGCCACUGUGCACACAUGCUUGAGUCCUUUGCUUUUCCUGUGCUCCAAUUCUUUUUUUCCAUAUACUCUACUCCCCGUCCCAAAAAAAGUGUCGUUUUAGAAUUUCAAACAUCUUAUUUGAUCAUCCAUUUUAUUCAAAAUUUUUACAUAAGUAUUAUAAAUUUUGUUAAGACCUAUUUAUCAUUAGAGAUACUUUACUAAUGAUUUAUUUAUUUUAUAAUUUACACAAAAUUUUUGAAUAAGACGAACGAUCAAACACGAUUUCUAAAAAUAAAAAACGUCACUUUUUUUAGAAUGGAGGGAGUACAUUAUUUUCAGAUGCCCAUCCUAGAGUAUGUAGUACCAUUCCAUGUAACAGCUAGUACCUUGUACCUAGGAUGGAGUACGUACUACUCGUGCUUGCAGUAGCGCGCGAAAGUGGACGACAGCACGCCCAUACGGCCAUCCGCUCACCAUUGUCUACAUCCUAGCUUUCUACGUACGUGUGUACCUGUACAUAUAGUCAUAAACCUAUAUCUACAUUUUUUAAUAAUAAUUUAUAUCCAUACCCUAAUAAUUUUAAUAAUAAUGAAUAAUAAAAGAAGCAAAAAAUUUCCCAUCCCUCCUAUUACUGCUUUAAGUAAAAAAAAAGACCUUCACGGACGCGGCAACACUUGUGUUAGGAUGAAAGAUAGAAAUGAGGCACAGCCAAUCUGUCGUCUUGUGAUGAAUUACGAAAAGAAUAUUUGUCAUCAGAUCAGUAGUAGAAUUAACAAUCACACGUAGAACAGACACAAUGAUUUAUGUGAAAGACCUUUUCAAGGCAAGAAGUAAAAACUAUGGAACCAAACGCUCUACUCCAAGCUUCCACUAUAAGUACAAUGAGUGUAGAAGGAGUUUUAUCUAGGGAAUCUAGAGUUAACCAGCGAUAACACAUUCAUCAAAUUACAAACUUGCCAUCAGUUAGAACCACAACCUUCUAACAAUAAGAGGAAUGACAACAACGAAGUAAAGAACUCAUAUAUUUUGUUCCCCUUUGGUAUCAAUUUAUAUCUCAAACUAUAGCUUUAUUGUGCAUUAAUUUUGAAAUGCAUAUAGAUCCACAAGUCCCCUAGCCACUGAUCAAGUUUUAGCUCAAUUGGACACCAUUUCACCAUCCAAAACAAUCAUCUACCAAAAUUUCUCUCUGUCUUGAAACUUAGUAACCAGAGCUGACAAAACAUACCCUUUCAAAUCUGGUGCUCUAAUCAACCGAUCCUCAAACCAACUGAACAUAUCAAACUAACCUAAUUGAGGAAUGAGCUAACCAAGUUUGGUCCCAAUCCAUCUAUGUUUGAGCCUACAAUCACUGGCUUUAAGAUGGCUGGUUAGAGCCACCAAAUCUCGAUAGAUUUGGUUCUUCUUAUUGUUCCUCCUCUUUGUCUAUCACGUUGUGGUGUUCUUGUGUUUCUCAACACCCCUCUCUUAGCUCCAACAACUAAAGGAAUAAAAGCUAGGGUUUUUAUUUUUAGUUUCCAAUUAAGAUUGAUCUUCACCGUUGGUUCCAACUAAAAUCAACAACUCACAAGAACUAGCCUCAGAGUUAUAUUUUCAGCUGCUUUGCGGAGCUCAAGAUCAUCCUCUAUAUGAAGGGACAGACUAGCACUUGUGUCAUAGCUUGGUCGACUGAGCUUGAGAUCCAACGGUGGGGUGGUGGGGCUCUAGAGCCCCCUCCUACGGCUACUGGACCUAUGGAGUCUCCAUAGGAAUUUUUUAUCAUGGAUGCACUUGAGGAGAGGCUGAAGCUAUCUAAAGGUUUAAAGAAAUCUCCCUAGACAUUUUUGCUAGAUCCGUUCCUAUAUGUGAUACAACCAGUGCAUUCAAUAGCCAGUAGCCACCAAAUCACUAGAAUUUAUUUGAUUUAAUUAAAGUAAAGUUUGGUUCCAACUAAAUUAAUAAAUUUAAUAAAAUGAUUAGUUUAUUAUCAUCUACUUUGGUAGAUCCAGACAAUCGCACGAGAAGUUGUAGGUGUGUACUUGUGUUACAGCACAGCAGCAUAUAUGAGCAUAUUCGUUAUGCCAAUAUUAUACACAAAGAAAAAGAGUCAUGGACGAGGCGGCAAUUGCUGUCGGUGGAUGGCUACCUUUCGGAAGCUAGCCACCGUACACACUCUUUUGGCCGGCCGGCGUCGGCGUGCUGCCAAGUGCAACCUCCCCAACGCUAAGCAGGUAGUGAUAUUAAUGCCGCUGCCGGUGAGGCUCGUCGUCGUCGUCGUCGUCGUCGUCGUGUGACACAAACAAGUCUACCAUCACCCAGAGUGGUCCCGGACACUGUAGGACACGCGUAGUGUAUGUACGCAAUGUCGUCGUCUGCUGCCCUGCUCAACGAUGUGUUCUAACUUUAUUACACGGUACCUGUACGAGGGUAGCAGCAGCUGCUCGGCUGCUGCAGGUGGAUCAUGCACACGCGCGCAACUCCAACACUACCCUAAACUUCACUUGGCAAAUCUUGAAUUUUGCAAAGUGUAAAACUCAAAUGCCAAGUGAAAAAAAGAGGCUUCUGUUAGCUAUUUCUUUUGACAAAUUUGGACUAUCUUGUGAUUCCUGAAAAAAUCAGAGAGACUUUUAUACAAAAGUUGCAAUCUAUUUAAGGCAUGCGUGCAUGCUGAAUGUGUGGGUCCCACCGCGUAGGCAGGAUGCCAAGCGCUCCCAACGCUCUUAAAUUUGAGCCAGUUGGCCCUCUUUUUGCCAAGCAUCCUAUUUUGCCAAGUGCAUAUAGAGUAGUGUUGGAGGAGCUUUUCCAUGUUUUGCCAAAAAUUAGGAUUUGCCAAGUGCAUAUAGGGUAGUGUUGGAGUUGCUCUAAGGACGUCCAGAACAGCCAUCUAAGGUCUCUUUGGUUGGACUUUUGAACCUGCUUUUGCUUUUGUAAAAGCCAAAAUCCAACCAAAGGGCCCAAAAGCCACAAGUGCUUUUGCCCAAAAGCAGCUUUUCUCGUAGUACAAAUCCAAAAGCACCUCACCCCCUGCUUUCACUGACUUCUGGGAUCCGUUCAGUUUUUUUUUCCAAAAGCCACGAGUGACCAACCAAAUGACUUUUGGGUUUCUCAAAGCCCACAUCCCACAGUAGCUUUUCAAAAGCUCAAAGCUCACAGUAGCUUUUCCAAAAGUCACAUCCCAAUCAAACACACCCUAAGGCCUUGUUUAGAUCCAAAUAAUAGAUCUACAGGAUCUACUAGCAAUAGAAAGAACAGGGAUUCGGGAUACAUAAGUAACAUAGACAGUAACAUAAAUAUGCACACUAGAUCUAUUACAUAGGGAAUAGAAACAGGUAGAUCUAGAGUAUAGGGAUUCGACCGUCGUUGGCGGCGGGUGUAGAUCCAGUGGGGUCCAUGGCGAGGGCGUUGACGCGGUGACGGAGUAGAUCCCGUCGUCCUUCGGGCCUCCACCGGCACUGACCGACGACGGCGGGGUAGGAGUAGAAGGGUGACGGCGCGGUGGUGCUUCCCGACGCCACUGCGCACUGUCGAUCGGCGACCUAGGGUUGUGAGUAGGGUUUGGCGGCGCACGACGAACUUCGUGUUGUGUGCCAGUAGCCCCCUACUCCUAUAUUUAUAGCGCAGCGCGUCGGGGGCCCACCAACGAUAGAUCGAUUGGACGCCCCCGAUCAGGGCGCGAUCCAGGGGGAAAGGCCCCAGCCGUUGGGCUGGGCCUGAGAUCAAUAUAACAUUCUCCCUCUUGAUCUCAUCUGUGCUUUCUCGCUUUGUCAACUCACCCCGUCACAAAUCAGUGUAUUGAGCAUGCUUCAUCUUAGCAGUUAUCACUGCUAGAUUAGACAGCCACAAACACUUUUCUGUUUAGAGAUGAAUUCUCGCCUUGGGCCCCUUGCUAUCCAGGAAUCACAGGCUUUCCCUUAAACCCAUGUCGGCUACAUGUUCUCUGAACAUACUGGGCGGUAAGCCUUUCGUAAGCGGAUCCGCUAGCAUCUUUUCUGUGCUUAUAUGUUCAAGACUUAUGAUGUGAUCUCGGAUUUUAUCCUUGACAACAUAAUAUUUUAUGUCAAUGUGCUUGGCGGCAUUGCUUGACUUAUUGUUGUGAGCAUACAACACUGCUGGCUCGUUGUCACAAUACAACUUUAGUGGUUUAUCGAUGCUGUCGACCACCUUUAAACUGGGUAUAAAUUUCUUAAGCCAAUUCACCUGUCCUGAUGCCUCAUAACAAGCAAUAAACUCAGCAUACAUUGUGGACGAUGCAGUGAUUAUUAUUUGUUUUGAGCUCUUCCAUGAUAUGGCUCCUUGCACGAGAGUGAAUAUAUACCCUGAGGUAGACUUUCUAUCAUCUUCCGCGUAAUCAGAAUCUGAAUACCCUACUAUUUGUAGGUCAUCAGAUCUUCUAUAGGUUAACAUAUGAGCCCCUUCGUGCCUUGCAAGUAUCUUAAGAAUUUCUUUACUAGAUUCCAGUGUUCCAUACCAGGAUUACUUUGAUAUCUACCAAGUAGCCCGGUCACAAAAGCCAGGUCCGGGCGUGUGCACACUUGAGCAUACUGUAAGCUUCCGACAGCUGAAGCGUAUGGAACGGCUUGCAUGCAAUCGCGCUCGAACUUGCUCUUGGGACAUUGAUGUUCCCCAUACUUGUCACCUUUUACAAUAGGAGCAGGUGAAGGUCUACACUUAUGCAUAUUGAAUUUCUUCAAUAUUUUCUCUAUAUAUGCCUCUUGGGACAAUCCCAAUACCCCUCGACUUCUAUCUCGGUGAAUCUUUAUGCCCAAGACAAAAGAAGCUUCACCUAAAUCUUUCAUAUCGAAAUUUGAGGACAAAAAUCUCUUGGUUUCCUGUAGUAGAGUGACACCACUACUGGCUAGUAGAAUGUCAUCUACAUACAGUACUAGGAAAAUGUAUUUCCCAUUCUUAAACUUUGCAUAUACGCAAUUGUCCUCAACAUUCUCUUUAAACCCAAACUUUCUGAUUGUCUUAUCAAACUUUAAAUACCACUGCCUGGAUGCUUGCUUUAAUCCAUAAAUGGAUUUCUUCAGGCGACAACCCAUUCUUUCUUUGCUUGUCACAACAAAACCUUUCGGUUGUGCCAUGUAUACUCUUUCUUCUAGAUCCCCAUUGAGGAAAGCUGUCUUCACAUCCAUUUGAUGCAAUUCUAGAUCAAAAUGUGCCACUAGGGCCAUUAUGAUUCUAAAAGAGUCCUUGCUCAAGACGGGAGAGAAUGUUUCAUUAUAAUCUAUCCCUUCUCGCUGAGUAAAACCCUUGGCUACCAGUCUUGCUUUGUACCUUUCUAUGUUCCCUUUGGAGUCACGUUUCACCUUGUAGACCCAUUUGGAGCCUACUGUUUUGGCUCCUUCAAGAAUUUCCUCUAGGUCCCAAACUUUAUUGGUACUCAUAGACUUUAAUUCAUCUUCCAUGGCUUCUUGCCACUUAGAUACUUCGGUGCUCCUCAUGGCUUCUUCAAAUGAAGUGGGUUCAUCCUCCAUCUGAACUUCUUUGCAUUCAUAGACUAUAUAGUCAUCUGGAAUAGGAGACUUUCUCGCUCUUUGAGGUCUACCAGAAGUUUCUGGUACUGGCAUUUCUUCUUGAGGUUGCUCUUGUUGGGGCUGCUGUUCUUCAACUAUGGGUUCAUUCGGCUCCUGAAGGACAAGUUCCGAAUUAGCCAUAGGCGAAAAAGCAGCAGGUGUUGUCACUACUAGUGUAGAUCCAACAACAACAGGCAGCGUAAAGUAGGGUUCUUGCACCAUGGGAAUGGGCACGAACACCCGCUUCUCUGCAAGGGUAAUUUCUCGCGCUGCCUUGCUCCCCCUGAUCAUCUGAUCUUCUAGAAAACUAGCGUGUCUCGGUUCCACAAACUUGGUAUGUCUACCAGGGCAGUAGAAACGAUAACCUUUUGACUUUUCUGGAUAGCCAAUAAAAUGACAACUUACUGUUUUGGGGUCUAGCUUUCCUAUGUUUGGGUUAAAUACUUUUGCUUCAGCAGGGCUCCCCCAGACACGCAAAUGGUUGACUGAGGGUUUCCUGCCGGUCCACAACUCAUACGGUGUUUUAAGUACUGACUUGCUUGGAACUCUGUUGAGAAUAUGAAUGGCGGUUUUUAAGGCCUCCAUCCACAAACUCAAUGCAGAGUGGAAUAGCUCAUCAUGCUGCGCACCAUAUCCAUUAGAGUACGGUGACGCCUUUCUGCUACUCCAUUCUGCUGUGGGUCCCCUGGCAUUGAAUACUGGGCUACUAUGCCAUUUUCCUGUAAGAACCUCGCAAAAGGUCCAGGAACUUGUCCAUAAGGGGUAUGUCGACCGUAGUACUCCCCCCCCCCCCACGGUCAGAUCUUACUACUUUGAUUUUUCUGUCUAGUUGGUUUUGAACCUCAGCCUUGAAUAUCUUAAAUUUGUCUAAAGCUUCUGAGCGUUCUUUGAUUGGAUAGAUAUAUCCAAAACGAGAGUAGUCAUCUGUGAAUGUGAUGAAGGAAUCAAAACCAUCCACAGAUGUCACUGGAAAAGGUCCACAGAUGUCUGUGUGGAUCAAUUCUAGUACUCCUGUGCUUCGCUUAGUGCCUUUCUUUAUGUUCUUUACUAACUUGCCUUUAAUGCAAUCGACGCAUUGCUCUAACUCUGAGAGUUCUAGUGGUGGGAGGAUUGAUUCUUUAACUAAGCGUUCUAUUCUCCCCCUCGAAAUGUGGCCUAAGCGACAGUGCCAUAAUUUCGAUGAGGAAUCAAUUCUCUUUCUUUUCUUGCUAGCAUCUGCGGGUAUUGCAUUCUCAGCAUUAUUACAUUCAGCAUUCACAUUCUCAGACAUAGAUAAUAAAUAAAGUUUGUCUUGUCGGAAGGCAAGACCCACACAUUUAUUAUUUAACUGUAGCUUACAAUCAUUCUUGCUGAAAUGGCAAUCAAAACCAUAGUCUGACAAACAUGAAACUAAAAUUAAAUUUCUAGCUAAAGAGGGGACAUAAAGAACAUCAUGCAACUCAAGUGUGAAGCCACUAGCUAAAUCUAGAGAUAAAUUUCCUAUAGCUUGAACUUCAGCAGCAACACCAGUGGCCACCUUAAUCUGUCUUUCUCAUCUUUGAAGGGUUCUCCCUCCACUGAAUCCCUGCAAAGAGUUUGCAACAUGAACAGUUGCACCUGAGUCAAUCCACCAUGUGGAUCUAGCAUAACUUAGAUAUAAGGAUUCAUCAACAAAAGUUAUAAUGUCCUCACCUUUCACUAGGCAAUGUUUCAUGAACUUAGGGUAUUCAUGCUUCCAAUGCCCUGUCUCAUUACACCAUCUACAGCGAUCCGGGUCCUCCUGCCUGUGCUGGUUGUCUUGCUUUGGCUGUGCUUUUGGCUGUGAAGAGCUUCCUCCCUUGUUCUCGGAGGUGGAGGCAUCUAGAGCUUUCUUGUUGUAGAAUGGUUUCUUGUUCUUUCCUUUCACAAAGUUCACAGAACCACCAUUUGCAUUCUUGAGCCUUUCUUCCUCUUGCACACACAUAGCAAUCACCUUCUCUAAAUCCCACUCCUCUGGCUGUGUGUUGUAGUUAACAACAAAUGUCUCAUACUCUUUAGGAAGUGAGUUUAGAGCUAGGUGAAUGAUGAAACCAUCAGCGAGGGGCAUCUUUAGCUUCUCUAACUUGGCUGCCAUGGUGCUCAUGCUCAGAAUGUGCUCUCUCACACUCCCCCCUGUGAACCUCAUGUUAGUGAGUUUCUGGAUCAGGGUGGAAGCAUGAGCUUUGGUGGAACCAGUAAACUGAUUCUUCACUUUCUCAAGGUAUUCUUUUGCUGUCUCACAUUCUGGGAUGGCACCUCUUAGGCCCUCUGUGAUGGUUUUCUUGAUGACAAUCUUGCAUUUGCGGUUUGACUUUUCCCACUUGUACUUCUCAAGAUCAUACUUUGCUAUGAUGGGAGCAAAGUCUCGCUUCCGAUUAGCAAAAGCUUCAUCGCUCUCAUUCUGAGCCCUUUCGGGCUCCUCUGGCUCAGUGGGCUUUGGCUCCUGAAGAGCCAAAUCUAUCUCAGCAAGUGCUAGAGCUGCAUCAAGUUCCUCGCGCCACAGAACAUAGUUCUGCCCCGUCAGCUUUGGGAUUGCACUGAUGAAGUGCAUCGCAUUCUGCGCUUGGUCUGAAAUUAAAUAUGAGAAAAUAGUGAGAACAUCAACAUUAAAUCUAGGAAAAAUAAUUGCAUAUCUUAAUUUAACGUUGGUCAAAAUCAAGAUAUACAAAAAUUAACUCUCUACAUAAAUUCUAAUCACUGUUGGGCAGAAUAGAAUAAAUACAUAAAAUUAGAACUUGGAAUUUGUAAUAUUGCUAUUAUUAACGUUGGUCAAAAAAUAACAAUAUCACAAAAAUACUAGGCUUUAAAACUCGUGUCUCAAAUUAAAUAUCCCGUUGGUUCAAUUUAAUAUGAGAACGAAAAAAUAACUUGCGCAGCGGAAAACAUUAAUUUAUUUACUAUUUUUAGAAGCAUAACUAGCUAACUGUGCUUUCUAAUUAAUAUACACGUUGGUGCAAAUUAAAUAGAAUUUAAAACUGAGCAAAACAAAUAUUUAAAUGCUUCUGAAAAUUAAAUAGAAUAUAAAAAAGGAGUUACAUUGCUUAAACGGGCCGUGGCCAACCAUUCGGCCCACGACCUCUUGCGGUCCAGCUCGGACGCUGGCCCAGCAGCGCACGGGUGCUUCUGAGUUUUUUUUAUUCUUGGCUGGUGGCACGCGGCCCAGCUAUCGGUUUUCGGCCCAGCCCAACGGCAUGCGUGCACGCGGGCGCUUGGCGGGCCGCAACCUGGGCCGGUGGCGCGCAUUCGGCCCAGCGCCGAAACCCGCCUGGGCUCAUUCUAGCCCAGCAGCCGCUGGUCGUCCGAUUUGCGGCCGUCGCGAUCGGACGGUAGAGUGCGCAGGUCGGAGGCAUAAAAGCCGCCGGCGCCAGGCUCUCUCUCCCAAACCCUAGUUUCUUUCUCCUUUGCUUCCUUCCUGACUCAGCAGCCGACGGCGCCGGCGCAGGAGCCAGACAGCCGCGGCAAGGGCCUCGCCGGCGCCGGUGAAGACGCCGUCGUUUCGGCCGCUCCCUUUCUCCUUUCUGUGCUUUCUUUUGCUUUUUCUCUCUCCAGUCCACUUGCGCCCAGCUGUAGAGAAGGACGCAGUGCUUUGCCGGCCGGAAAGAGUGGCGCCGCCGCGGUUCCUAUCGCCGGAGCGCGCGCUUCCCGUGGUGGGUGAGCGCGCCGCCGUCGAUAAGAGUCGCGAUGGUGCCCUGCGCUUGGCCCCCAUGCGGGAUUCCUCCCUGGUUUUGACCACCCCGGCCGCUAUGGUCGUGAGGCCGGGAUGGGCUAGCGCCCAGGUAGGGUGUUCCUUUAUUCUUUGUUGUUUGAUCUAUGCUUUUAGGGUUAGGAAAUCCCUUUUCUCGAUCUUUCGCGUUUGGAUCUGGGCGCUAGGUUUAGGGUUUGGGAAAAAAAAUAAAUCCUCUCCUUCUACUUGCUGGGCUUGUUGGGUAAAUCCCGAAAACCCCGAUCUAUUACUAGAUCGGCUGAUACCAUUGAUAGAUCUACAGGAUCUACUAGCAAUAGAAAGAACAGGGAUUCGGGAUACAUAAGUAACAUAGACAGUAACGUAAAUAUGCACACUAGAUCUAUUACAUAGGGAAUAGAAAUAGGUAGAUCUAGAGUAUAGGGUUUUGACCGUCGUUGGUGGCGGGUGCAGAUCCAGUGGGGCCCAUGGCGAGGGCGUUGACGCGGUGACGGAUUAGAUCCCGUCGUCCUUCGGGCCUCCAUCGGCACUGACCGACGACGGCGGGGUAGGAGUAGAAGGGUGACGGCGCGGUGGUGCUUCCCGACGCCACUGCACACUGUCGAUCGGCGACCUAGGGUUGUGAGUAGGGUUUGGCGGCGCACGACGAACUUCGUGUUGUGUGCCAGUAGCCCCCUACUCCUAUAUUUAUAGCGCAGCGCGUCGGGGGCCCACCAACCAUAGAUCGAUUGGGCGCCCCCGAUCAGGGCGCGAUCCAGGGGGAAAGGCCCCAGCCGUUGGGCUGGGCCUGAGAUCAAUCUAACACCAAAAAGUUUUUGGAUUUUGAGAUUAUAGCAUUUUUAUUUUUAUUUGACAAAUAUUGUUCAAUCAUAAAGUAACUAAGUUUAAAAGAUUUGUCUAGCGACUUACAGACAAACUGUACAAUUAGUUUUUGUUUUCAUCUAUAUUUAAUGCUCCAUGCAUGUGCCACCAGAUUCAAUGUAACGGAGAAUCUUGAAAAGUUUUUGGUUUUUAGGGUGAACUAAACAAGGCCUAAAUAACUAGUAGAUACAUAGUAUUUUAUUUCACAUGGAGGAAAGAGAACGUGAAAACUGAGGCCUUGUUUAGUUUCAAUUUUUUUUGCAAAAUAGAUACUGUGGCACAUUCGUUUGUAUUUGACAAAUAUUAUCCGAUCAUGAACUAAUUAGGAUCAAAAGAUUUGUCUCGCAAAUUACAAUUAGGGUUUUAUAAAUGCAUUCCCCCCAUCAACCUUUAUACUCACUUUGGCUUCCCCUUUUAUAGGACACUAUUACUUGGGGAAACCAGUUUACACUCCUAUCCUACGACACAGCGGCUAUGGUACAUUAAUGGAAUACGCUUAGCCACAAACAUAAUUUUAGGGUUACUUUGGGGCAUUCCACCUUGGCAACCGCCUUAAUUCAUGGGCCUUUUCUAGUGCCCACAGAGGCCCAUCUAUCACCUCAAGUUCUAGGCACCGUAGGGGCCUUCUCGUCAGCCUUCACUAGAAAAGCCCCGCCUUCCGCCGCGAUCUGGGCUCAUGCUACUCUGGACCUUCACUGCUACACUACCACCUUCGCCUUGUGCUCCAUCCAAGGAGGGUUCCGUGAUGCCUUUGCCCCUCAGAGCGGGACCUUCGCCAAUGUCGAGGGUGCGGGCGAAGGCUCCUGUCUUUGUUCCUGCCAAUCAAUGAUCAUGUUUCGUGCAUUGUUAGUCUUUUUUCGCUGGUGUAUCCCCUAGCUGCCAUAGCUCAUAGUUCCAUGUCCCAACAAUGUCUAAGAGCAAUUUCACUAGGAACCCUUAAAUUAGGGUUCCCACUUUUGAUUCGAGGGUUAUUCAACUUUUAAGUUUUUUUUGCAUCUAUUGUAACAACUCUCAAAUCCAUUUCAGUAGUCACGGAGACACAAACACAUGAGAUUCACUCGCCAUUCUCUUCCUAUGACCAUAACUACCUUCGCUCCAAUCAACUAAGCUAUGACUGACACGGGGUGGAGCAGCAGUAACCUCAUUAGGGAGGGGUUUGUGCCAAGGGCAGAGGAGCCGAUGAUGAGAGAGUAGCCACGUUGGGGACUGACCUUGUAAGAAUAGGGAAGGACCUCACUAGGGGAUGGGACAAGCACUAGGGAGAGGAGUCACGCUAGGGGAUCGAGGAUGGGGUAAUAAGGGUCUCGUUGGGACGGGGAAGGACCUCACUAGGGGACAAGACAGGAGCUAGGGAGAGGAGCCACAACGGGGAAGGAUCUCACACAUAGGCGGACAAACCUCACUGUGAGAGCCACGCUACAAGGAGGGAGACCCCUUAGGAAGGGGCACGCCGCUAUAGGGAGGGGAGUCACACCACUAAGGUGAGGGGCCUCAUCAGGGAGAGCCGCACCAAGGGAAGGACCUCCUAGGGACGGUGGAGCAUGCAAGCAACAUCGGAUGUGGAUAGAUGGACACUAUCCUCUUGCAUGCUAGGAGGAAAACGAUAACAAGUGUCAGUUGAGGGCCUAGAGUAGGGUCCCAAGAAAAUGAGGACUAGGAGGAAAAUUUGAGGGGCCUAUGAGUUUUUUUUUCUAGUCAUCAAAUUUGGUUUUGAGGGGUCAAGUAGGUGUCCUGCUAGAGAAGGCACCUCUAAUAAUAGUGAGAGUUAGAUAUCGACUCUUAGAUCCAUCUCAUUCAUAUGUUUUAUUUAUAUAUUCUCUCGUGUCAAGAGAGAGAGAUAAUUCAAGUCUCUCAUACAUUUUAGUACGUGCAAAGAGCUCGGCUUUUCUCAACUUCUCUCCACGCUAGUUCCACGCUAGUUCAAAGGUUUUUGGCCUCUCUCCCCUUUGUGUGGUAUCUGAUACUAGCUUAGAGCAAGUCCAAGAGAAGAGCUAUCCAUAUCAUGUAUUCUAUAUUUGGCUAUUUUGGGAGAGAAAAGAGAGUCCAACAGCUAUUGUAUUUGGUUUGCUAAAAUAGCAAGUCAUCUAUCCCGGAGUUCUCGUAUGGUAAAUAUAGCUUGCAUGUCCUGCUAGCCAUAUGAUUUGCCGUAUAGAAAGACCGUUGGAGAUUUUUAUUUUUUUACAUGAUUUUCUAUUUUAGAGGUUGGCUAAAUUUUGAAUUUAGCCAUCUAUUUUUAUCAACUCUCUUAGAGUUGCUCUUAGAGUUGUCCAAUAGAGAUGCCCUUAGCUAGCUCCCAAUUUAGAAUAUACCUAGACUAGAUCGAUAUCAGGCUUGAGAACGCAUAAUAGUUAGAUAUUUAUACCUAGUAGAUCGUUGGGUUUUAAACAAUACCAUACCUUUUUUUUGAGGGGAAAACGAUACCAUACGUGAAAUGGCUCACAUGAAUAUUAGGCCCGAAAACGGUUAUUGGCUAAACAGAAUUGGGCCUUAAAUGGGCGAUUAAAACAGCAAUGAUGCCUCCGUAGACUAGGAAUCGCAUAGACAAAAAGCUGUGACAUGCAUAUGCCUCGGGUGGGCUAUAAACAGGCCUGCGAUGCAGGCCUAUACACAGCCCAAUUUUUUUUGUGAACAAUACACAGCCCAAUUUGUGUACGUACAAGUGCCGGUUGCUUUUUCAGUUUCUUGCCCCAUGGGAAGCAUUCCCCAAUCGAAUCAUCACGUACGUACUUGACUCUGAUCCAUCAUAACACUUGGUGUCCACUAUGCACGCUCGUAGGCAUUGUUUACUUCCACCCAAAAUCUAAAAUUUUUUCAAGAUUUCGCGUCACAUCGAAUCUUUAGACGUAUGCAUGGAGUAUUAAAUAUAAACGAAAUUAAAAACUAAUUGCACAGUUUGAUCGAAAUUUACGAGACGAAUCAUUUGAGCCUAGUUAGUCCAUAAUUAAACAAUAAUUAUCAUAAACAAACAAAAGUGCUACAGUGUACCGAAAAAAUUUCGGCAAGGAACUAAACAAGGCCGUAGUAUGCUGUUAUAUGAUGGAAUCUAAAGAGCCCCAUUUUCUCUUUUAUCUUACCCUCCAGAUCGAGGCCACAAAAUCCUAGGUACAGAACAUCGUCUGUCAGAUGCAUCUGGUUGCAGCAAAGAUCCACACACAUUACAUAGAAUACGUGCACAGCACCAAAUGCAUGCAACGGCAACAUAUGCAUGCAGCACAAUUAGUUGUACAGUUUCCAUGAUUUACAAGCAAGUCCGGAUUCUUUUACUUCAGUAAACCAUCCUCAUAUUGCAAUGAUGGCAUGAUGCAUAUAUAGAGCGGGAGUGGUUAAGGUCGAUGAAUAAUGAAUCACUGAUGAAGCAGGGCAGACAAGGACACGGCAGCGGCGGCAGAGGCACACUGAGCCCACACAGAUGAAAUGAGCAAAUAUAUAGUACGUCGCGUGUAUAUGUUACUAUAUCUUAUUACUUGAACACAUCACUCUCAUGACUCAUGGAUGGAAAACAUCAUGCAUACAGUACAAUAUAUAAUGGACACAAAAGCUAGUAGUAUUCAUUAUUCAGGAAACCUGUGUGCUAAAGCAACAAGGUUAAAGGCAAGCAAACCCCCAAGGACGACGUUGAGUGCUGCUUUGCUAGCCUGCUACACACACACACACGUACGAUCGAGGUACACGACGACAGCCACAGCGACGACAGAGUUGGUGUAAACUCAAGGUAGUAAACAGUAAAUACUAAUUAAACGGAGUGAUCACUAACAGGUACGGUGCAUGCAUGAUCUACUCCUUAAUUUAUGUAUCUAUCUCAUUGCAUGCAUCAUCCAUGGAGGGAGUCAUGGACGACAUCUGGUAAAACAACGACGACUGCAUGCUGAUCGCCAUCCAACGAGCAUGCCUCAUGCAUGUCCUUAUGAUCGAUCAUCAGUUGAUCCUGCACGUACAUAACAUGAAAGAUAUCAAAUCAUGGUUAUCACACUCGAUCAUUAGCAGAAAAUCACUCAUAAUCACUGUGCAUUCAUGCAUGCAUGGACGACAUAUUUAAUCAAUUGGACAGGGUGAAAAACUCAGCCUAGGAGGCGUCGUACUUGGAGCAGUCGACGUUGGGACUAAUGGGCACGCCGACGGAGACGCCGCACUUGGAGGGGAUGCUGGCGGCGUUACCCAUGCUGACGCCGCCGCCGCCGCCGAGCCUGCUCGUCAUGCUCUUGAGGCAGGCGCAGGUGGCCUGGCGGUCGGCCGUCGACGACGCGCGGCUGUUGAGCGAGCGCACCCCGGUGCAGCACGCCGGGGAGGGGAACGCCGUGGUGCCCAUCGCGUACCCGAGGCACGGCGCCACCGAGGAUGUCACGUCGCUGCAGCUCACCGCCGCCGAUGCCGGCUCCGAGGACGCCAGCAGCAGCGCCGCCAGGACCGCCACCGUCGUCGCGACCACCAGGGCGAGGCGUGGAGCAGCCAUUGCAGGACAGAAGAGCAGUGGGGGGUGGUGAGCUGUUGAUGGUGUAGUGGUGUUAAGUGAAGCUGUGAUGGAUGGAGCAAUGGUGGUGCCAGGGGUAGGGUAUAAAUAGGGAGCUUUUUACCUAUAUGUCAUUAUGAAAGAUUGACCAAACCAGGAAGCCACUAAAAAGUGGUUUCGCACCGCUGUGCCCAACUUCAUCUUCGGCUAUACCUGUAUGCCAUUCCGUCCAUUUUGAAGUCUAACGGCAGUUAAGUGGUCUGACAUUUGACUUGAAUGCCCCUGGGCCAAUUGGUCUAGACAACAAAAUCUUCUUGUCCCCAGUGCCACUGACUACCAAUUCACUGACUACCAAUUUCUACGGUGAGCGCCAAAAGGGCUGGACAGAACUGCAAAAGUGGCAUCUUUCAGAAGUUCUAAAUUCCCAUAUUACUUGAAAAAUUCUUUCAUGGUUUUUAGCAUCAUCCAACAGUAAAUCCCGUAGAUGAACAGAUUGAAGAACCCGAUUAAAGCCAUGCCACAAGCGAAAGAAAUGGAACAUGUUUCACAACAAUCUAUGAACUAUGAAAAUAAGGAACAUAAAAAAAAACCGCCAAUGUUUAUCUCAGCUACCUCUCAUUCAUUAGGUAACAUAAACAAAUACAUAGGCUUCCGUUCCAUUAAUGGUCCUUUGUUCCAAGAACACCACGCCAUACAUACUACGGGCGAACGCGACGAGGACCUGGAACUGGACGAGCUUCUGUCCGAGCACCGGAUGGACGAGGCGCUCCAGCUCCUGGAGCUGCGAGGCCAAGCGCUGCAGACGAUGCAGGAGCAGGCCGACGACGACGACGACGGAGCGAUCGCGUUCGCGUCGAGCGUGCGCGCGCUGUCCGCCACGAAGGCGAGGGUCGCCGCCCGCUUGGCCUCCCUGGCGGAGAACCCGCGGACGCCGCGGCCCGAGCUCCUAAAGGCGCUCUCGGGCCUCUGCAGGCUCGGCGACUCGGAGCAGGCGAACCACCUGCUCUUCCAGGUGCACCGCGCGAGCGUCGUCCGCGCGUGGAGGAGCUGCGCGCGUCGCGAGGCCACCACCAGAGCAUCGCCGGCGCCGGCGGCAACUACAUCAAGGACCUGGCGCCAGCGGACGCCGAUGCUGGCGGAGCCACCGAGAGCGCCGGGCCGGCCCUGGCGACCCCGCUUCCUCCUCGUCCCCUCUCCGCCUCAUGCUGCUGCUGCGGAGGCGGCGCGAGGGAGCCGGUGAGGAGCUGCGUGAAGGUCGUCGCGGCCCCGGAGGAGGAGUUGGCGCCUCCGCCUCCGCCGUCGUCGCUGUCAGAGGAGGGGAAGAGCGCUGAGGCGAGCGUGAGCGGGCCCGGGCUGGCGUCACCGGCGCCCGUAAAGAGCGACUCCGCCGCCGAGCGCGGUGGCAGCGCCAGGCGCCGGCGUUGACUUUGGUUUUGGAAGAGGCCGAGCGCGGCCUCGAACGCGGGCUGGAGGACCGCGUGAGGGGCGAUGGACUGGAAGGGCAAGAAGGACAUUUUCCUACCAAGGACCCACGUGCCAGACCACUUAAACGUCACAAAACAAACGGAAUGGGGACGGAAUGGCAUACGGGUAUAGUUGAAGAUGAAGUUGGGCACAGCGGUGCGAAACAAUUUUUUAGUGGCUUCCUGGUUUGGUCAAUAUUUUAUAAUGGCAUACAGGUAAAAAGCUCAUAAAUAGGACCUUGGUAACUCAUCACUUAUUCACUUUUUUUUUUGGAAUUCAUCACGUAAUUAUUUUUUUUUGAGACUGGAACUUCACCCGUUUUUCAUUAAUUAAGAGGGAAUUCAAUCACGUAUUCACUUGGAGAGUGUACGUGUGUGUGUGUGUUAGCUGGAAAUCUGAUGAUGUGGGGCGCGCGGCCCGGCUGGGGAGCUGAUGAGUGAGGCUUUUUGAUAUUGUAUCAUUUUCAUUUUUAUUUAACACAUAGUGUUCAAUCAUAAAGUAAUUAGAUCUAAAAGAUUCGUUUCACGAUUUAUAGAUGAUAAUCUGUACAAUUAGUUUUUGUUUUUAUCUAUAAUUAAUGCUUCGUGUAUGUGCCGUAAGAUUCGAUAUGAUAAAAAAAUUUGAAAAGUUUUUAGAUUUUUGGGUGAAUAAACAAGGCCCGAGUGAGUGCAGGUGAAGUGUUACUGCAGUGGUGGUUGAGCACGCACCAACCAGGGGGAUCGUACGUUUGAUGAGAUGUGAGAUGAGAUGCGAUGCGACGAGGAGAUGAAUGCAUGCACGUGAACCUGCUUCUCGUUUGUAUUCGGACUUUUGGUACGUACAAACAAAGCCUGUGCAAACGUUCAUCAUUGUGCUGCUUGUGCAUAUUGAUAUACACGACAUAUGCACGCUGCAUAUACCCUGUGUACUGUGGUGCCCGUGACUGCCGCCGGGCACAUAACAUAGGAGUAGUAUGAAGUCUUCAAAGUCACGACUGAAAGUCUUUUUUUUGCUAAUAUGUUGUAAAAAAACAUUUCUAAAUAAUUAUUAGUAGAUUCGGUAGAUGAUCUUAAUUAAUAAGUGAACAAGCUAAUGGUUUUAAUUUGUGCUGUGGACACAGCUACAUAGUACGAUGGGAUGGACAGUGUUUCCCACCAGCCUUACCGAGUUUACCGUGCAACGAAUACGCGCCCGUGACACACACACGCUGCAUAUGCAUGAGCCUUGGGCUAUAUAUACCAGUACGCGUACGUACGUACGUAAACGUACGGUCGUAUAUUGUACUCGCGCGCCUACAUAUAUCAUUCUCGGAAUCGUAACAUCCUCCCUCGCUCGGUCUGUCACGAUCAUGAACGUAAGACGUGUUCAUCAACUUUGGAACUGGUGCACAUAGUACUGCUAGGCUAGCUGAACGUACGUCCCAGCAAACACGUACGGAUAGAUAGAUGAUCCAGGACUAUUAGCAAUUAACUGCCUUCAAUUCUUAUGUCGCCGGCCGAUCGUACUGCAGCGCAUGCAUGCAAAUGCAAUAGUAGUAGAUAGAUA
rnacentral:lncRNA from 1 species